UGCUAUACUGCAAGUCGAGCGGACGGAUGGGAGCUUGCUCCCUGAAGUCAGCGGCGGACGGCUGAGUAACACGUGGGCAACCUGCCUGUAAGACUGGGAUAACUCCGGGAAACCGGGGCUAAUACCGGAUAAUUCUUCCCUUCACAUGAGGGGGAGCUGAAAGAUGGUUUCGGCUAUCACUUACAGAUGGGCCCGCGGCGCAUUAGCUAGUUGGUGAGGUAACGGCUCACCAAGGCGACGAUGCGUAGCCGACCUGAGAGGGUGAUCGGCCACACUGGGACUGAGACACGGCCCAGACUCCUACGGGAGGCAGCAGUAGGGAAUCUUCCGCAAUGGACGAAAGUCUGACGGAGCAACGCCGCGUGAGUGAUGAAGGUUUUCGGAUCGUAAAACUCUGUUGUCAGGGAAGAACAAGUGCCGGAGUAACUGCCGGCACCUUGACGGUACCUGGCCAGAAAGCCACGGCUAACUACGUGCCAGCAGCCGCGGUAAUACGUAGGUGGCAAGCGUUGUCCGGAAUUAUUGGGCGUAAAGCGCGCGCAGGCGGUUCCUUAAGUCUGAUGUGAAAGCCCACGGCUCAACCGUGGAGGGUCAUUGGAAACUGGGGAACUUGAGUG
rnacentral:rRNA from 1 species